UACGUAGGUGGCAAGCGUUGUCCGGAUUUACUGGGCGUAAAGAGCGCGCAGGCGGUCAGAUAAGAUCGAAGUGUGAAAGCCGCCCGGCUCAACUGGGCGAGGUCCGUGGAAACUGGUCGAGCUGGAGGACGGUAGAGGCGAGUGGAAAUUCCCGGUGUAGUGGUGAAAUGCGUAGAGAUCGGGAAGGAACACCUGUGGCGGAAGGCGGCUUCGCUGGG
rnacentral:rRNA from 1 species